rnacentral:tRNA from 2 species
CGGGAUGUGGUGUAAUGGUAGCACGCGGCCUUCGGGAGGCCGUAGCCUGGGUUCGAAUCCCAGCAUCCCGA